rnacentral:rRNA from 1 species
UUGCUACAUCUCUCGCUGACGAGCGGCGGACGGGUGAGUAAUGCUUGGGAACAUGCCUUGAGGUGGGGGACAACAGUUGGAAACGACUGCUAAUACCGCAUAAUGUCUACGGACCAAAGGGGGCUUCGGCUCUCGCCUUUAGAUUGGCCCAAGUGGGAUUAGCUAGUUGGUGAGGUAAUGGCUCACCAAGGCGACGAUCCCUAGCUGGUUUGAGAGGAUGAUCAGCCACACUGGGACUGAGACACGGCCCAGACUCCUACGGGAGGCAGCAGUGGGGAAUAUUGCACAAUGGGCGCAAGCCUGAUGCAGCCAUGCCGCGUGUGUGAAGAAGGCCUUCGGGUUGUAAAGCACUUUCAGUCAGGAGGAAAGGUUAGUAGUUAAUACCUGCUAGCUGUGACGUUACUGACAGAAGAAGCACCGGCUAACUCCGUGCCAGCAGCCGCGGUAAUAC